CAUGUCUUUUUGUUUAUGAUUUAAAGUCUAAUCUGCUCAAUGAUUUUUUUUAAAUAGCUGCAGUAUCCUAACUGUACAAAGGUAGCAUAAUAAUUUGCUUUUUAAUUGAAAGCUGGAAUGAAUGAUUGUACGAGAAAAUGUCUGUCUCAAAAUAAUUUAAGUGAAUUUUACUUUUGAGUUCAAAGGCUCAAAUUUUUUUUUUAGACGAGAAGACCCUAUAGAGCUUUAUAUUUAAUAUAAUAAAAAAUUUUUAGAAUUUUUUAUUUUCAUUUAUACUAAGUAUUUAAUUGGGGUGAUUUAAAAAUUUAAUUAACUUUUUAUUAAUAAAUUAUAUUUGUAUAAAUAAUUAAUCUAAAUAUUUUAAGACUAAAAUAAGUUACCUUAGGGAUAACAGCGUUAUUUAAUUUUUGAGUUCUUAUUAAAAAUUAAUUUUGCGACCUCGAUGUUGGAUUAAAAUUUAAAAUUGAUGCAGAAGUCAAUAUUUUAAGUCUGUUCGACUUUUAAAAUUUUACAUGAUCUGAGU
rnacentral:rRNA from 1 species